UUCAUUCUUUUGGCCUUUGGCUAAGAUCAAGCAUAGUAUGUGUACUUAUCAGUUUAAUAUCUGAUAUAUCCCCUAUUCUCCAGUUCUCAUAUGUUGUUCUUUAUUGUUGGAAAGAAAUACAGCAUAUGGUUA
rnacentral:snRNA from 1 species